rnacentral:rRNA from 1 species
GUUGUAUGGUUAAGUGACUAAGCGUACAUGGUGGAUGCCUUGGCAGUCAGAGGCGAUGAAGGACGUACUAACCUGCGAUAAGCCGUGAGCAGUCGGUAAGAGACAUUACGACUCACGGAUUUCCGAAUGGGGAAACCCACUUAGCAUAAGCUAGGUAUCGCUACGUGAAUACAUAGCGUAGCGAGGCGAACCGGGAGAACUGAAACAUCUAAGUACCCCGAGGAAAAGAAAUCAACCGAGAUUCCCUCAGUAGCGGCGAGCGAACGGGGAUUAGCCCUUAAGCAUCUUGGAAGUUAGUGGAACGGUCCUGGAAAGGCCGGCGAUACAGGGUGAUAGCCCCGUACACGAAAACAACCUUGAUGUGAAAUCGAGUAGGGCGGGACACGUGACAUCCUGUCUGAAUAUGGGGGGACCAUCCUCCAAGGCUAAAUACUCCUGACUGACCGAUAGUGAACCAGUACCGUGAGGGAAAGGCGAAAAGAACCCCUGUGAGGGGAGUGAAAUAGAACCUGAAACCGUGUACGUACAAGCAGUGGGAGCCCUUCGGGGUGACUGCGUACCUUUUGUAUAAUGGGUCAGCGACUUACAUUUUGUAGCGAGGUUAACCGUAUAGGGGAGCCGUAGGGAAACCGAGUCUUAACUGGGCGUCUAGUUGCAAGGUGUAGACCCGAAACCGGGUGAUCUAGCCAUGGGCAGGUUGAAGGUUGAGUAACAUCAACUGGAGGACCGAACCCACUAACGUUGCAAAGUUAGGGGAUGACCUGUGGCUGGGGGUGAAAGGCCAAUCAAACUCGGAGAUAGCUGGUUCUCCCCGAAAGCUAUUUAGGUAGCGCCUCGGACGAAUACUACUGGGGGUAGAGCACUGUUUGGGCUAGGGGGUCAUCCCGACUUACCAACCCCAUGCAAACUCCGAAUACCAGUAAGUAAUAUCCGGGAGACACACGGCGGGUGCUAACGUCCGUCGUGAAGAGGGAAACAACCCAGACCGCCGGCUAAGGUCCCAAAGUUCUGGUUAAGUGGGAAACGAUGUGGGAAGGCUCAGACAGCUAGGAUGUUGGCUUAGAAGCAGCCAUCAUUUAAAGAAAGCGUAAUAGCUCACUAGUCGAGUCGGCCUGCGCGGAAGAUGUAACGGGGCUCAAACCAGGCACCGAAGCCGCGGAUUCACACUAAGUGUGAGUGGUAGGGGAGCGUUCUGUAAGUCUGCGAAGGUGUGUCGAGAGGCAUGCUGGAGAUAUCAGAAGUGCGAAUGCUGACGUAAGUAACGAUAAAGGGGGUGAAAAGCCUCCUCGCCGGAAGACCAAGGGUUCCUGUCCAACGUUAAUCGGGGCAGGGUGAGUCGACCCCUAAGGCGAGGCCGAAAGGCGUAGUCGAUGGGAAGCAGGUUAAUAUUCCUGCACGACUUGUAAUUGCGAUGGGGGGACGGAGAAGGCUAGGUGGGCCAGGCGACGGUUGUCCUGGUGAAAGUGCGUAGGUGGUGUUUCUAGGCAAAUCCGGAGACACAACACUGAGACACGAGACGAACACACUACGGUGUGGAAGCCAUUGAUGCCCUGCUUCCAGGAAAAGCCUCUAAGCUUCAGAUUACAAGUCAUCGUACCCCAAACCGACACAGGUGGUCGGGUAGAGAAUACCAAGGCGCUUGAGAGAACUCGGGUGAAGGAACUAGGCAAAAUAGAACCGUAACUUCGGGAGAAGGUUCGCUCUUGACAGUGAAGUCCCUUGCGGAUGGAGCAGUUGGGAGUCGCAGUGACCAGAUGGCUGGGACUGUUUAUCAAAAACACAGCACUCUGCAAACACGAAAGUGGACGUAUAGGGUGUGACACCUGCCCGGUGCCGGAAGGUUAAUUGAUGGGGUUAGCGCAAGCGAAGCUCUUGAUCGAAGCCCCGGUAAACGGCGGCCGUAACUAUAACGGUCCUAAGGUAGCGAAAUUCCUUGUCGGGUAAGUUCCGACCUGCACGAAUGGUGUAACCAUGGCCAUGCUGUCUCCACCCGAGACUCAGUGAAAUCGAAUUCGCCGUGAAGAUGCGGUGUACCCGCGGCUAGACGGAAAGACCCCGUGAACCUUUACUACAGCUUGGCACUGAACAUUGAACCUACAUGUGUAGGAUAGGUGGGAGGCUUUGAAGGCGUGACGCCAGUUGCGCUGGAGCCGUCCUUGAAAUACCACCCUUGUAUGUUUGAUGUUCUAACGCAGGCCCGUGAAUCCGGGUCGCGGACAGUGCCUGGUGGGUAGUUUGACUGGGGCGGUCUCCUCCCAAAGAGUAACGGAGGAGCACGAAGGUUGGCUAAUCCUGGUCGGACAUCAGGAGGUUAGUGCAAUGGCAUAAGCCAGCUUAACUGCGAGACGGACAGGUCGAGCAGGUACGAAAGUAGGUCAUAGUGAUCCGGUGGUUCUGAAUGGAAGGGCCAUCGCUCAACGGAUAAAAGGUACUCCGGGGAUAACAGGCUGAUACCGCCCAAGAGUUCAUAUCGACGGCGGUGUUUGGCACCUCGAUGUCGGCUCAUCACAUCCUGGGGCUGAAGUCGGUCCCAAGGGUAUGGCUGUUCGCCAUUUAAAGUGGUACGCGAGCUGGGUUCAGAACGUCGUGAGACAGUUCGGUCCCUAUCUGCCGUGGGCGUUGGAUGAUUGAAGGGAGUUGCUCCUAGUACGAGAGGACCGGAGUGAACGAACCUCUGGUGUUCGGGUUGUCACGCCAGUGGCACUGCCCGGUAGCUAAGUUCGGAAUCGAUAACCGCUGAAAGCAUCUAAGCGGGAAGCGAGCCCUGAGAUGAGUCAUCCCUGACCCCUUGAGGGUCCUAAAGGGCCGUUGGAGACCACAACGUUGAUAGGUGGGGUGUGUAAGCGCGGCGACGUGUUGAGCUAACCCAUACUAAUUACCCGUGAGGCUUAACCAUACAACACCCAAGAAGUGUUCU